rnacentral:rRNA from 1 species
GAUGAACGCUGGCGGCGUGCCUAAUACAUGCAAGUCGAGCGAACGGACGAGAAGCUUGCUUCUCUGAUGUUAGCGGCGGACGGGUGAGUAACACGUGGAUAACGUACCUAUAAGACUGGGAUAACUUCGGGAAACCGUAGCUAAUACCGGAUAAUAUUUUGAACCGCAUGGUUCAAAAGUGAAAGACGGUCUUGCUGUCACUUAUAGAUGGAUCCGCGCUGCAUUAGCUAGUUGGUAAGGUAACGGCUUACCAAGGCAACGAUGCAUAGCCGACCUGAGAGGGUGAUCGGCCACACUGGAACUGAGACACGGUCCAGACUCCUACGGGAGGCAGCAGUAGGGAAUCUUCCGCAAAGGGCGAAAGCCUGACGGAGCAACGCCGCGUGAGUGAUGAAGGUCUUCGGAUCGUAAAACUCUGUUAUUAGGGAAGAACAUAUGUGUAAGUAACUGUGCACAUCUUGACGGUACCUAAUCAGAAAGCCACGGCCAACUACGUG